GGCUCAGCUCUUGCAAAGACCCAACUACCGGUAGCCAAAGGCGGCUACCCCACAGACGACACAGACGUCGC
rfam:Pseudomonas taeanensis MS-3 contig_03, whole genome shotgun sequence.